UACAGAGGGUGCGAGCGUUAAUCGGAAUUACUGGGCGUAAAGGGCACGUAGGCGGCUGGGUAUGUCGGGGGUGAAAUCCCCGGGCUCAACCUGGGAACUGCAUCCGAAACUGCCUUGCUCGAGUAUGGGAGAGGGAAGUGGAAUUUCCGGUGUAGCGGUGAAAUGCGUAGAUAUCGGAAGGAACAUCAGUGGCGAAGGCGACUUCCUGGACCAAUACUGACGCUCAGGUGCGAAAGCGUGGGGAGCAAACAGG
rnacentral:rRNA from 1 species